rnacentral:lncRNA from 1 species
UUUUUUUUUUUUAGGGCCACGCCUGUGGCAUAUGGAGGUUCCCAGGCUGGGGGCAGAUUGGAGCUGUAGCUGCUGGCCUACACCAUAGCCACAGCAAUGCCAGAUCCGAGCCGUGUCUAACCUAUACCACAGCUCAGGGCAAUGCCAGAUCCUUAACCCACUGAGCAAGGCCAGGGAUCAAAACUGCAUCCUCAUGGAUAGUAGUCAGAUUCACUUCCACUGAGAAACGAUGGGAACUCCUACUAUUUUUUUUUCUUGUGCUAAGAACUUUGUUGUGAUAAGAUCUACUCUGCUGGCAAAGUUCAAAUAUACAAUAUGGUUAACUAUAGUCACCAUGCUGUACUUUAAUCCCCAGGACUUUUUUUAUCUUAUAACUGGAAGUAUGUACCUUUUGUCCACCUUCACUCAUUUUACUCACCCCAUAACCCCACCUCUGGCAACCACCAAUGUACUCUCUGUUUCUAUGAGUUCUGUUUUUUAGAUUCUACGUAUAAGUAAGAUGAUAAAGUAUUUGUCUUUUCUCUGUCUAAUUUAUUUCAUUUAGCAUAAUAUUGUCAAGGUCAAUUUAUGUUAUCACAUAUGGAGCUAUUUCCUUCAUUUUCAUGGCUGAAUAAUUGUGUGUGUGUUUGUGUAAAACAUCUUUUUUAUCCAUUCCUCCAUAGUUAGGCAUUUAGGUUGUUUCCAUAUCUUGACUAUUAUUACUAACGCUACAAUGAACAUGGGAGCAUGGGUAUGUCUUCAAGAGAGUGAUUCUGUUUCCUUCAAAUACAUACCCAGAAGCGGAAUUGCUAGAUCAUAUAAUAACUAAUUCUAUUUUCAAGUUUUUGAGGACUCUACACACUGUUUUCUGUGGUGGUGUGGCUCUACCAAUUUACAUUCCCACCAACGUGCUCCCUUUCCUCCACAUCCUCACCAACAUUUGCUAUUUCUUAUCUUUUUGAAGAUAGCUAUCCUGGCAGGUGUGAAGUGAUAUCUCAUUGGGGUUUUGACUUGCAUUUCCCUGAUGAUUAGUGGAGCUCCUUUCUCAUGUAAUGUUGGUCAUUUGUAUAUGGUCUUUGGAAAAAUUUGUUUAGUUCCUCUGCCCAUUUUUUAAAUUGGAUUGGUUCUGUUUGCUAUUGAGCUGUAUGAGUUCUUUAUAUAUUUUGGAUAUAACCCCUUAUCAGAUAAAUGAUUUGUAAUUAUUUCCUCCCAUUUUGUAGGUUGUCUUUUCAUUUUUCGGAUGGUUUUAUUUGUUGCCAAGAAGCUUUUUUUAGGUUGAUAUAGGGCCAUUUGCUUAACUUCGCUUUUGUUGCCUUUGCUUUCGGUGUCAAAUCUAAAAAAUGAUUGCCAACACAGAUGUCAAGAACCUCACCACCAGUGUUUUCUUUCAGAAGCUUUUUGGUUUCAGGUCUUUAAUCCAUUUUGAGUUGAUUUGUGUGUGUGUUGUGUAAGAUCUGGAUAUCCCAGGGCUAUUAAGAGCCAUUUGCCUGUUUGGAUGCUGGUCUUUGGGAUGAAAAGUUAGUCCUGAAGAAGACAAACAGCUAUGUUUCAUGACUGAAGCUGAAAAAAACCUCUAUGUCUUGAAAAGAUGCUGCACAAUUGUUCUUAUUGAGAGUUUGGUAUGAAACAUAUUCUUGAUUAUUUCAACUAUGGAUAAGUAUAAUUAAACUUACUACGGCAAAGAAAGGGAAAAAUGGAAAUAAUCAAAAACAUCUUUAAGAAUGUCCUUAUUCUUUAUAGAAGAGAUGAGGAGAAAUAUCUUGAUAUCUGUAGCUUGCCAUCAAAUGGUUCAAUUAAAAGAUGUAAAUAUAUGGGUGCGUAGAGAGAGGGUGCAAAUUGGCAAAAUGUUAACCAUCCUUUGAAUCUAGGUGGUGCUCAUUAUAUUCUUCUUUUAACUUUUCUGCAUGUUUGAAAAUUUUCAAAGUAAAAUGCUCCAGAAUAAUCUCAAAGUGGUGCAUUAAAUGUCCUGGGAGAGCUAGGCAGAGAGCAAGACUUAAAGAAAGAACAAAUUCAACCUAAUCUAGGGAGAGAUGAAUUCAGUGAAAGCUGUCCAGCAGAGGUAAUGCUUGAGCUGAAACACUUUCUCUGAAUAACUUAUUUAAUCCUCACAGAAACCCUGGGCCAAUUUUUGUGACCAUUUUAUAGAUAAGGAAACUGAGGCAUCCAGAAGUUAAGUCUCUCAAGGUCACACAGAGGCAGCCAUGUCACCCAGUUCCAGGCAGUACAGGCCAACCAUCUAGUAAGAAGUGGAUCUGGGCAUCAGACGCAGAAGGUCUGGGAGCAGAACUCAUGUCCUCAACCUCUGCAGGGGAGUCCUUGUGGCUAGGAUACAGGGUGUGAAGCAGUCCUGGAGAGGAAUGAAAUGAAAAGUCACUAGCAACUACAUCGCAAGGGACUUCUGGACCAAGCGAAGUUGUAUGGCCUUAUGUUGAAGACAAUGGAAAAUCAUUGAAGGAUUUUUGAACAGAGAUGGAACCAACUUGGAUGUUAGAGAGCAGGCCUAUGCCUGGGAAGAGUUAUAGGAGAGAGCAAGUAGAAGUCAGUAGACCAAUUGGCAGACUGUUGGAGAAAUUCAGGCAGGAAAUAAUAAAGGCCUAAACCAUAGCAAUGGAAGUGGUGGUGAAGAAGGGAGGAGGGAUAUGAAUAAGAAAGAAUGGCUAGGACCCAGGGAUCCAUUGGCUAUGGAGGAUGAAGAAAAAGCAUCACUGAUGCUUUCCAUAUUUGUGAUGAUUGACAAAGACAUUAUGGAAACAGAACAGUUUGGAGGGAAAGGUGGUGAAUUCAUCUUUGGACAUUAUUAUUGCACAUAUGUUCCCUCUACCAGUCUGGGUGUAGGGAUUGCAUCUUACUCUAUUUAAUACCCAAAGUUCCGAGCAUCCUUUCUGGCACAGAGUAGAUGCUCAGUCAAUGGUUGCUGGAUGUGUUGAGUAGGUAAAGGAAGGGCUUAGAGAAUCUCUUAGAACCCUGGGAUUGGAAGCAAUUUACAGGUCAUGUGGAAACAUCUCUGGGGAUGUCUGGAUUCCCUCCCCUCACCC